CUAUCGUGUGAAACUGCGCAGCACCCCAGCGCAUAGUGUCUGAGAUUUGUGGGGGAGCCUUGGUGAAAUCUGAAUCGUUAGAGAAGUAUGUCUUGUGAUCUAAUAUGGCAGUAUAAAUGCUCCAAGUUGUGAGGUGUCACGCCGUUCCUAUCUGCUCAACUUGGCAGGUCUGCAAUACUGACAUUUUGUCAAAACGACUCUCCCAAGUUAUAUCAAACCAUAUAUAGGCUAAAUGCAAUUUUGCCUGUCUUUAUUUCACAUCGAAUGAAAGAUAUGUGCAUGGGUUGCGAUUAAAAAUGCAUUAUCGCUUUAACCACUAAUUUAUUGAUUAGGCAUCAACUAUUACUUAAUUGUGUGGCUUACACUUAACUAUAUACACAAGAUCUUGCUCUUGUGUAUAUAGUUAGUGUGUAUACCUAUUGGGAUCCUGUGUCGGACGAAUAUAACUACUGCGAAAAUAUAAAAAAGGUAUUCCGAUAUUGCCGUUAUUAUUGUUCCCCCAUAAGGCGAUUUGAGGUAGUGCAGAU